UGGGUGUAGUCUGAAUUUUAUUUUAAUUUAUUUUUCAUCAUUUCACAGACUCCUGGGACAUUUUAAGUAUGGAUCAAGUCAAGACAAACAUGAGAUGCCUUGGUUGCUUGUCUGUAAAAAGGACCUGCCACAUUACCUGUAAUGUUGCAGAUGUUGGAGUCCCAACCCCAUGCGUCCCACUGGUCUGGAAUAACAUUUGGAGUCUGGCAGUCUGGUCCCUUUUGUAGCUCCAGAGGAUUUUUGGAGCAUGGGGAGCAUGGGAUGCAUGGAUGUACGGACCCACAAAACCCUCUGGAGAAUGCUGGCUGUGGAAAAAAGCAUCUGGAAGUUUCUACCAUCUUUUUACCCUGUUUUUUCCUGGCUCACCCUGUGUCAUUUGUGGCCCUGUCCUGAGGAUUAUAGCAUGCAGUCACUUACUGGAAUACCUCCCCAUGCAUCUUCUUGAAACGGAGCCAUUGCUUUACCCAGCUGGAAGAUAUUUUCUCUUCUCCCAGGGCUUUUCCAGUGCAGCAGCACUCCUGUCCAGCAGUCUUUGCAGAUCUCUGCUCCUGCCUGUGGCUGAAGCAACACUGCAAUGGGUCUCGGUUGACUGCAGAAAGGAGAAGGGAGGAGCAUGUCAAAGGGAGGUCAGAUCCUGCCAGGGUUUCCUGGGAAAUGAGGGAGGGCUUUCCAGCUCUUUGAGAGAGAAUGCAGUCAGGGACUCUGUCCUAGAAUAUGCUUUUGAGGCUUAGAGGAACCCAGCAGAUACGAAGAUCCUGGAAUCAAGAAGCACAAAGGGAACUUGCAAGCAUAAUUAUGAUAAACAUCAAUGGGUGGUUUCAGAGUGUCAGAACUGAGAGCUUCAUUCCUUUGGCUCAAGUGCUUGUAGUUGGGAACAUUUUGUGUGCCUUUUGUAGAGCCACAGAUUGGCCCAGACUGGAAGGGAUUGUCUGGUUCAGUCUUUUGUGGGAAAGGAAGCCAAGGUGAUUGUAGGAAUCUUGUCCAGUUGCAUCUUGAAAAUCCCCAGUGAUAGAGACUGCAUCAU
rnacentral:lncRNA from 1 species